GUCCCUGUAGCGUCAUGGAUAGCGCGUUGGACUUCUAAUCCAAACGUCGUGGGUUUGAAUCCUACAUGGGAUG
rnacentral:tRNA from 1 species